rnacentral:rRNA from 1 species
UCGAUCUCAAAUCAGGUAGGACUACCCGCUGAACUUAAGCAUAUCAAUAAGCGGGAGGAAAAGAAACUAACAAGGGAUUCCCCCUAGUAACUGCGAGUGAAGCGGGAAGAGCUCAAAUUUAAAAUCUGGCGUGCCUCUGG